UGGAUUUUUAAUGACAGGAGGAAGCCCCAGAUAUGGUGAAUAUGGAGUUAAGUUGGUGGCCAGUCAAGAAGGUGGGGACAGUGAGAAUGCAGAGGGAAGAAGGUACCAAAACCCAGAAGUGGUCCAGACAGAACACAGAGAUCAGAGCUUCCUUUUCAUCAUCUGCAUGGCAGUGACAAGAGGUCAUGAACCUAUCCUCCCAUUACCAAUGGGGACUGAACAUGGGAUGCAUCAAAGGGGAUCAAUAGAAGCCAGAAUAAGCAU
rnacentral:lncRNA from 10 species